rnacentral:rRNA from 1 species
GACGAACGCUGGCGGCUUGCCUAAUACAUGCAAGUCGAACGCAGUGGGGACGGGUGAGUAACACGUGGGUAACCUCCCAUCAGAGGGGAUACCACUUGGCAACAGGUGCUAAACCGCUACUGAUGGAUGGACCCGCGGUGCAUUAGCUAGUUGGUGAGGUAACGGCUCACCAAGGCCACGAUGCAUAGACGACCUGAGAGGGUGUUCGGCCACACUGGGACUGAGACACGGCGCAGAGUCCUACGGGAGGAAGCAGUAGGGAAGCUUCGGCAAUGGAGGAAAGUGUGAAUGAGCAACGGCGAGUGAGUGAAGGAGGGUUUCGGGUCGUAAACAGCUGUUGCUAGGGAAGCGGUAUCUAACCAGAAAUCCUCGCCUAACUCCGUGCCAGCAGCCGCGGUAAUAC